GCUUCGGUAGCUCAGUUGGUAGAGCAGUAGGCCGGAGACCUACGGCCGCGGGUUCAAAUCCUGCCUGAGGCA